CGUAGGUGGUUUGAUAAGGGUGUGGUGAAAGCCCGGGGCUCAACCCCGGGUCUGCCGUGCCGACUGUCAAACUCGAGGGCUGUAGAGGCAGACGGAAUUCCGGGUGUAGCGGUGGAAUGCGUAGAGAUCCGGAGGAAGACCGGUGGCGAAGGCGGUCUGCUGGGCAGUUUCUGACACUGAUGCGCGACAGCGUGGGGAGCAAACA
rnacentral:rRNA from 1 species